GCACAUAAUCUAAAUCGAAAACAGAAAGGAAUGAACCCCAAAAGGAGUUAUGAGAUUUUCUUCGACACUUGAAAAUCGUACAAGACAUUUAAGCCAAAAUCGAGCGAAUCGCAACACGAACGGGAUGAAAACAGCAAAAGGAACUCGGACACCAACCUCGACGUACGAAUGAACGAGAUCUCGGAUCUCGACCUCUCUAUUUUUUUCCGUUUCCAAACUCCUCUUUGCUCCAAUCGAUAUCUUUCCCCCUUUCUCACCAACUCUCUCUCAAGCAAACUGUUUGUGAGAUUCCAUAUCCGCAAACUAUGGAGAUUUCAGACCAAGAAAGGGU
rnacentral:lncRNA from 1 species